rnacentral:rRNA from 1 species
UUGCGGUUAAAAAGCUCGUAGUUGGAUUUCUGUCUGGGAUGGUCGGUCCGCACUUUGUGCGUGCAUCUGAUGCGUCCUCGGCAUCCUUCUGAAGGACAUUGUACUUUAUUGUAUGAUGGAUUUCAGAACUUUUACUUUGAGGAAAUUAGAGUGUUCACAGCAAGCAAGCGCUUUGAAUACAUUAGCAUGGAAUAAUAAUAUAGGACCUUCAGUACUAUUUUGUUGGUUUCUAGAGCUGAGGUAAUGAUUAAUAGGGACAGUUGGGGGCAUUCGUAUUAACGCGUCAGAGGUGGAAUUCUUGGAUUGCGUUACGACGAACUACUGCGAAAGCAUUUGCCAAGGAUGUUUUCAUUGAUCAAGAACGAAAGUAUGGGGAUCGAAGACGAUUAGAUACCGUCGUAGUCUAUACCAUAAACUAUGCCGACUAGAGAUUGGAGGUCGUUUUUUUAUGACUCCUUCAGCACCUUAUGAGAAAUCAAAGUCUUUGGGUUCCGGGGGGAGUAUGGUCGCAAGGCUGAAACUUAAAGGAAUUGACGGAAGGGCACCACC